UCCCUGGUGGUGCAGUGGUUAGGACUCUGCACUUCCACUGCAGGCGGCCUGGGUUUGAUCCCUGGUCAGGGAA
rnacentral:tRNA from 1 species